rnacentral:rRNA from 1 species
AACGAACGCUGGCGGCAUGCCUAACACAUGCAAGUCGAACGAGAUCUUCGGGUCUAGUGGCGCACGGGUGCGUAACGCGUGGGAAUCUGCCCUUUGGUUCGGAAUAAGAGUUGGAAACGACUGCUAAUACCGGAUGAUGACGAAAGUCCAAAGAUUUAUCGCCAGAGGAUGAGCCCGCGUAGGAUUAGCUAGUUGGUGUGGUAAAGGCGCACCAAGGCGACGAUCCUUAGCUGGUCUGAGAGGAUGAUCAGCCACACUGGGACUGAGACACGGCCCAGACUCCUACGGGAGGCAGCAGUGGGGAAUAUUAGACAAUGGGCGAAAGCCUGAUCCAGCAAUGGCGCGUGAGUGAUGAAGGCCGUAGGGUUGUAAAGCGCUUUUACCGGGGAUGAUAAUGACAGUACCGGAGGAAUAAGCUCCGGCUAACUCCGUGCCAGCCGCCGCAGUAA